CAGGUGGGUGGAGACCACCAUCGCCGUGAACCGGGCCAACCUCCUCCAAGCCGACGUCUUUGACCUCAUCAAAGAAGUCUCCCUCAAGGACCGCGAGCUCAGGAUUGUGGGCGAGGUCGGUGCCAAGAUCCGAGUCUUAGACUUCAUUUCUCCCGAUGUCCAGGAGCGAACGCGAUGGUCUUGAAGUUGUUAGAAAUCCAAAGAGGCCUAUCGGCGCUUGGAUACAUUACUAUAACGAUCAAUUAGCCAUGAUGAAAGAGAAGGAUAAAGGAGU